GUGGCUUCACUUCACCCAUGGACGUUUGACACUGUAGGUGCGUUCCGAUCGACCUGAAGUACCCUGCGAAACAUCCGCGGUGCUUAUGUUACCAUGGUAACGCACGGAGGAAGUGACGUCUGCGCUGGUGACUUCGCAGGGGUGUUCCCAAUAAAGGAGUUUUGUCAACAGAAGUUCCCUUCGCCGACAUUCCCUGCAAACGGAGCAGCGAGUAGGGAGCACCCUGUGAAGUACACUUGAGCCAGCUUGAUGUAGCUCAGCUGUGCCUAAUUGCACCAAUCACCACUGGAUCCACAUUGGCUAACGAGGAGAGCUCUUUGGAGUUAAAGGCUGCAGACACCUGAAGAACGAGGAGGGCAGUACUGUGGAUAGGUAGUGUAGAGCAGAGUAGCUUAGGAGAGGGUGACCUCCUGUUUACUGACCACCUCACCAGAGACUAUUGUGCUUUCUCCUGUCUUAGACAUUAGCUUGUGUGCUAUUGCAAGUGCUAUUUGUUAGCUUGUUGUUUGUGCUAAGGUGUUAGCUUGUGCUAAGUGUAACUUCACCAAUUGUCUUUUUUUUGUAGUUAUUGCUACAACUCUGUUCCUACACUUUUUCCUUGAACUUAAGUGCUUUAUUGUCUUUACUUACUCACUUUAUUUGGAGCAGUAGGGAGGAGGACGCCAUUUACUUUUGUACCAUCUUUUCUCAUGUGUUAAGUUAGUAAGGGAGCUAGGUACUGUAAGACUUCUGUUGUUUAUUUGGUAUAUAAGUUAGAACUGUGAUGUUUGUUAUUUUGGCCUUGUUCCCUCCUGAAGUUUGUUUU